GGGCUUAUGGCGGAAUUGGCAGACGCGCCGGAUUCAAAAUCCGGUACUCAUUGAGUGUGUGGGUUCGAGUCCCACUAAGCCCAC
rnacentral:tRNA from 3 species